UCUUUCCCUGUUCUGACCCAAGCCAUCCCCCCCCCCCAUUCUCCUUCUUCCCUACCCCCUCUCCCCCCAAACUUGCUCUGUGCCAAGAGGUCUCCAGUGACAGAGCAGGAUCACAGAGGUGAACGAUCACUGCAAGCAAUCAUGAUUCACUGAAAUAACCGGAAGGGGGUAGGAUGGAAGACAGGUGGGGAAGUGGAACCAAACGAUUGUGAGAGCUUUCAACCAGCUUGCCUGCUCCUUCUACUUGUCCCAUCAAGAGACAAAUAAUGGGACAUUAACCCACAAAAAUCAGUAGCUUUUCUGUUGUCAACAAUGAGAAGAACAAGACUGAAAUCAGGAAAGCAACUCCAUUUGCAAUAGCCUCAAAAAAAUACCUAGUAAUGAACUUAACCAGAGAUGUGAACAACCUCUAUGAUGAAAACUUUAAAAAUCUGAAAAAGGAAAUAAAGCAGAUUUAAGGAAAUGGAAAAACCUUCUGGAC